GGUUGAAAAGCUCGUAGUUGGAUUUCUGUCGAAAAAGGUCGGUCUUCGCUUCGCGAACGCAUCUGGUUUGACUUCGGCAUCCUCGCGGGGAGGCGGCGCCGCGCUUGAGUGCGUGGUUCGCAGCUCGUGACUUUUACUUUGAGGAAAUUAGAGUGUUCGCGGCAGGCAAGCGCUUUGAAUAUGUUAGCAUGGAAUAAUAGUAUAAGGCCAUCGCUGUAUCUUGUUGGUUCUUAGGGCAUCGGUAAUGGUAAAAAGGGAUGAUUGGGGGCAUUUGUAUUAACGCGUCAGAGGUGGAAUUCUUGGAUUGCGUUACGACAAACUACUGCGAAAGCAUUUGCCAAGGAUGUUUUCAUUGAUCAAGAACGAAAGUAUGGGGAUCGAAGAUGAUUAGAUACCGUCGUAGUCUAUACCAUAAACUAUGCCGACUAGGAAUAGGAGGUUGUUUCUUUUGUGACCCCUUCUGCGCCUUAUGAGAAAUCAAAGUCUUUGGGUUCCGGGGGGAGUAUGGUC
rnacentral:rRNA from 1 species